AUUGAACGCUGGCGGAAUGCUUUACACAUGCAAGUCGAACGGCAGCACGGGGCAACCUGGUGGCGAGUGGCGAACGGGUGAGUAAUACAUCGGAACGUGCCCAAUCGUGGGGGAUAACGUAGCGAAAGUUACGCUAAUACCGCAUACGAUCUACGGAUGAAAGCGGGGGAUCGCAAGACCUCGCGCGAAUGGAGCGGCCGAUGUCAGAUUAGGUAGUUGGUGGGUAAAGGCUCACCAAGCCGACGAUCUGUAGCUGGUCUGAGAGGACGACCAGCCACACUGGGACUGAGACACGGCCCAGACUCCUACGGGAGGCAGCAGUGGGGAAUUUUGGACAAUGGGCGCAAGCCUGAUCCAGCCAUUCCGCGUGCAGGAUGAAGGCCUUCGGGUUGUAAACUGCUUUUGUACGGAACGAAACGGCUCUCUCUAAUACAGGGGGCUAAUGACGGUACCGUAAGAAUAAGCACCGGCUAACUACGUGCCAGCAGCCGCCGUAAUAC
rnacentral:rRNA from 1 species